rnacentral:tRNA from 1 species
GCCGCCAUCGCAUAAUGGUAUUGCAUCCGGCUUGAGACCGGAGCCCUUUUGGGCGUCCCCGUUCGAUUCGGGGUGGCGGCG